rnacentral:rRNA from 1 species
CCUACGGGAGACAGCAGUGGGGAAUAUUGCACAAUGGGGGAAACCCUGAUGCAGCAACGCCGCGUGAGUGAGGAAGUAUUUCGGUAUGUAAAGCUCUAUCAGCAGGGAAUAGAAAAGAAGGUACCUGAAAAAGAAGCCCCGGCUAACUACGUGCCAGCAGCCGCGGUAAUACGUAGGGGGCAAGCGUUUAUCCGGAUUUACUGGGUGUAAAGGGAGCGUAGACGGAAAGGCAAGUCAGAAGUGAAAGCCCAAGGCUCAACCAUGGGACUGCUUUUGAAACUGUCAAACUAGAGUACGGGAGAGGUAAGAGGAAUUCCUAGUGUAGCGGUGAAAUGCGUAGAUAUUAGGAGGAACACCAGUGGCGAAGGCGUCUUACUGGACCGAAACUGACGUUGAGGCUCGAAAGCGUGGGGAGCAAACAGGAUUAGAUACCCCAGUAGUC